AAGCCACAAACGGUCUUGCUUCCAGCACUUUGGGAAGCUAAGAAACAACUCACUCUUCACAGUGCUCUUACAGCUACCAGGAAUAUGUCUCACUAAGAUGUGUGAAACGCAGUUGCUUCCCAGCUGUGAUCUCGCUGAAGUAGAACUUCUGCUCACCCGUGUCCUACAUUGCCCUAGAGGUGCAAGGCACAAAGUCCUGUCUUGUUUCCUCAAGGGGAGACAGGCCACAAAGCGACUUCCUUCCAGCUCUUUGGGAAGCUAAGAAACAACUCGCUCUCCACAGAGCUCUUGCAGCCUCCCAGGAACAACUCUCUCAAAGGCCUGUGAAACGCAGUUUCUUCCCAGCCCUGAUCUUGCUGAAGUAGAACUUCUUCUCUGCCGUGUAAUACAUUGCCCUAGAGGUGGAAGUCACAAAGCACUCUCUGGCUUCCUUAAGUGGAGAUGGGCUACAGACCGUCCUGCUUCCAGUUCUUUCUCAAGGUGAGAAAGAACUCACUUUCCCCUGGGCUCUUACAGCCUACUCGGAACCUCUCAUACAAAGACCUGACGCAGUUUGUUUGGAGCACUAAUCCCGCCGCCUUGGAUCUUCUGCUCUAAGCCUUGUCCUACAUUGCUCUAGAGGUCGAAGUCACUAACACUGAUUCAUUACCUCCAAAGGAGACAAGCCACAAACGGUCUUGCUUCCAGCUCUUUGGGAAUCCAAGAAAUAACUCGCUCUCCACAGUGCUCUUACAGCCUACUGGGGACAUCUCUGAAACAGGCCUGUGAAACGCAGUUUCUUCCCAGCCGUGAUCUAGCUGGAGUAGAACUUCUGCUCCCCAGUGUAAUACUUUGCCCUAGAGGUGGAAAUCACAAAGCCCUGCCUGGCUUCCUUAAGAGGAGACAAGCCACAGACCAUCUGGCUUCCAGGUCUUUCUCAAGGUGAGAAAGAGCUCGCUUUCCCCUGGGCUCUUACAGCCUACCGGGAACCUCUCAUACAAAGACCUGAAACACAGCUUGAUUCCAGCUGAGGUCUCACUGCCCUGGAUCUUCUGCUCGAAGCCAUGUUCUACAUAGCUCUAGAGGUGGAAGUGCCAAAGCCCUGAGUCAUUGCCUCCACAGCAGACAAGCCACAAACAGUCUUGCUUCCAGCUCUUUAGGAAGCUAAGAAACACCUCGCACUCCACAGUGCUCUUACAGCCUACUGGGAUCAUCUCUCACAAAGGCUUGUGAAACGCAGCUUUUUCCCAACCCUGAUCUCACUGAAGUAGAACGUCUGCUCUGCUGUGUAAUACACUGCCCUAGAUGUGGAAGACACAAAUCCCUGCCUGGCAAACUCAAGAGGAGACAGGCCACAGACUCUUUUGCUUCCAGCUCUUUUGCAAUGUGAGAAAGAACUCACUUUCCCCGGGGCUGUUACAGUCUAGGGGGAACCUCUGAUACAAAGACCUGACACGCAGUAUGUUUCCAGCCCAGAUCUCGCCCCAUUGGAACUUCUGCUCUAAGCCGUGUUCUACAUGGUUCUAGAGAUGGAGGUCUCAAAGAGCUGGGUCAUAGCCUCCAAAGGAGACAAGCCACAAACGGUUGUGCUUCCAGGCAUUUGGGAAGCAAAGAAACAACUGGCUCUCCACGGUGCUCUUAGAGCCUGCUGGGAACAUCUCUUACAAAGGCCUUUGAAACGCAGUUUCUUUCCAGCCCUGAUCUCGCUGAAGUAGAACUUCUGCUCUGCCUUGUUAUACAUUGCCCUAGUGGUGGAAGUCACAAAGACCUCUCUGGGUUCCUUAAGAGGAGACAGGCUACAGACCGUCUUGCGUCCACCUCUUUCCCAAGGUGAGAAAGAAGUCGCUUUCCCCUGGGCUCUUACAGCCUACCGGGAACCUCUGAUACAAACACCUGAAACGCAGUUGGUUUCCUGCCCAUAUCUCGCCACUUUGGAAGUUCUGCUCUAAGCCAUGUCCUACAUUGCUCUAAAGGUGGAAGUGACAAAGUGCUGAGUCAUUGCCUCCAAAGGAGACAAGCCACAAAGGGUCUUGCUUCCAGCUCUUUGGGAAGCUAAGAAAAACUCUCUCUCCACAGUGCUCUCACAGCCUACCGGGAACAUCUCUUACAAAGGCCUGUGAAACGCAGUUUCUUUCCAGCCCUGAUCUCGCUCAGGUAGAUCUGCUCUGCCAUGUUCUCCAUUGCCCUAGAAGUCCAAGGCACAAAGUCCUGCCUUAUUUCCUCAAGGGGAGACAGGCCACAAAUCGUAUUGCUUCCAGCUCUUUGGGAAGGUAAGAAACAAUUCACUCUCCACAGUGCUCUUACAGCCUACCAGGAAAAUCCCUUACAAAGGCCUGUGAAACGCAGUUUCUUCCAGCCCUGAUCUAGCUGGAGUAGAAUUUCUGCUCUGCUGAGUAAUACAUUGCCCUAGAGGUGGACGUCGGAAAGCCCUGACUAGAUUUCUAUAGAGGAGUCAGGCCACAGACCGUCUUGCUUCCACCUCUUUUGCAAUGUGAGAAAGAAGUCGCUUACCCCUGGGCUCUUACUGUCUACUGGUAAACUCUCAUAUGAAGACCUGAAAUGAAGUUUGUUACGAGCCCAGAUCUCGCCACCUUGGAACUUCUGCUGAAAGCCGUGUCCUACAUUGCUCUAGAGGAGGAAGUGACAAAGCGUUGAGUCAUUGCCAACAGAGCAUACAAGCCACAGACGGUCUUGUGUCCAGCUCUUUGGGAAGCUAAGAAACAACUCGCUCUCCACAGUGCGCUUACA
ensembl:lncRNA